UUAAAAAAGAAAAAAAAAAGGAAUGAUUUCUUCUCAUAUCGCUUGUUAGCUGGGUUUUAGUCAUCAUAUGUAUGGGAUUUUAUAAUCACUGAUUUUGUUCUUGAAAGGAUAAAAAGUCAUUUCUACUAGCAAAAACCUGUACAGAAAUGUGUGUAUGACUGUCUGUAACCUCUGUUUCUCAAGAUGCUGGGUGUGAGAUUUUGGACCGAUGUCCAGGGGGCACCCCGAAAGUGCAGGGGCUGCUUCCUCUCCAAAUUCCGUUAACUCCCAGAGCUCUGGAGAGCACACGCCAAGUUCAUUCAUCUAAUCUGUACUGAUGAUCGUAUCCGCUAUCCAUUGAUACGGAACAAACGACCCCACACUUGACAAGCAAAACCCAGCCCUUGGAUCCUGACUCCCCCUGGUCACAUGACCCCAGGCCUUGGUAGUGCUGCAUUCACCCCAACAAUGAUUGGUCCAGGAGCAGAAAGUCAGCCUAUGAGGUCCUUCCUCAGAGCUUCUGUUUGAAGGUGAAGAAGGGACUUCGCCUUUGGGGUCAUGGAGUAGAAGGAUGGAUUGCGUAUGCUGUUGGCCCCUUUCCCACCAUGUGGAGAGAGCCAACCACGGCUGCAGAGAAGUUGGCUCACAGAUAGAGAAGCAAAAGCUGCAGACACUCUGUGGCCGUGUCCUAGGUGCUGGGGACACAGCAGUGAACAAACGCUUGUCCUCAAUGAGCUUCCAUUCCGACGAGAAACGAGUCAACCAGAGCAGCAAAGCACAUGGUACGGAGGGCAAGUAAAGCCUGAGCGGGGCGGAGGAGAGCGAGUGUGCAGGCUGGGCUCCACCACCACGGUGAGGACCCUGCCUUCGUGCUCUAGGUGGAGGAGCCUGUGGAGGAUUUUGAGCUACAGACGGAUUCGUCUGUGUUACAGCAUCCUUUUGGCCAGACUGGGGCAGGGGAGGGCAGGGCUUGCAACAGCCCAAACGGGAAGGUGCGCUUGGGCGCGUGGGACAGGCUGAGGCUUCCCAGAGGCACAGGGCAGCCUGUGGUGGCUUCAUGUUGAUCUUGGUGGCCGGCUGAUCACGGGGUCAGCAGCACACGACUGCCCUCAACCCGAUGAAGGCUGAGCACCCCGCCAGGCUCCACCAGGUGCAGGUGUAAGAGGACCGGUUUCAGGCACUGGUCCUUUUCACCAUAAUUUACAGGUUGAUUUGACAGGGGACAAGGUGGCUGCCUCUACAAAGAAUUUGAGCCAGGGCUCACUUAAGCCCCCUUCCCCCACAGAACAUUGGCUACACAGACACACACCAGCAGAUCGAGGUGAGGGCGCCAGGACCUCCCUGUGGUCCACUUAGCCGUUUUUCCCCAGAGGAUCCGAGGAUCCGUUUCUGGAAUUCAGGGCCAGCCCUGGUGGGAGGAGGUGUCAGAGCUGAUCAGGUUAAGUCGGAGAUUAUCUGGAGAGGGGAGGGUAUUUCGGCUUUAUACUGGCCUCAAAUCGGAGCAUGCGAUAUGGGUUUGGCCACAUCUCUGUCCCUGCUGUUUUAUGUUUAUUUUGUUUGACAGUUUAUUUGUGACUUGGGCCCUAGGCAAUCCUACAUGAGGUUACAGUUUCAUAAACAGAAUAAACAAAAUGAAACAGAGCCCAUA